rnacentral:rRNA from 1 species
CUACGGGUCGCAGCAGUGAGGAAUAUUGCACAAUGGGGGGAACCCUGAUGCAGCAACGCCGCGUGGAGGAUGACGCAUUUCGGUGUGUAAACUCCUUUUAUAUGUCAAGAAAAUGACGGUAGCAUAUGAAUAAGCACCGGCUAACUCCGUACCAGCAGCCGCGGUAAUACGGAGGGUGCAAGCGUUACUCGGAAUCACUGGGCGUAAAGGACGCGUAGGCGGGUUGGAAAGUCAGGUGUGAAAUCCUACAGCUUAACUGUAAGAACUGCACUUGAAACUUCUAAUCUAGAGUAUGGGAGGGGGAGGUGGAAUUAGUGGGUGAGGGGUUAAAUCCGGAGAUUUCACUAGGAAGACCUAAAGCGAAGGCGAUCUCCUGGAACAUUACUGACGGUAAGGGGUGAAAGCGUAGGGAGGAAACAGGAUUAGAUACCCUCGUAGUC